rnacentral:rRNA from 1 species
GAUGAACGCUAGCUACAGGCUUAACACAUGCAAGUCGAGGGGAAACGAUAGAGAAAGCUUGCUUUUUCUAGGCGUCGACCGGCGCACGGGUGAGUAACGCGUAUCCAACCUGCCCACCACUUGGGGAUAACCUUGCGAAAGUAAGACUAAUACCCAAUGACGUCUCUAGAAGACAUCUGAAAGAGAUUAAAGAUUUAUCGGUGAUGGAUGGGGAUGCGUCUGAUUAGCUUGUUGGCGGGGUAACGGCCCACCAAGGCGACGAUCAGUAGGGGUUCUGAGAGGAAGGCCCCCCCACAUUGGAACUGAGACACGGUCCAAACUCCUACGGGAGGCAGCAGUGAGGAAUAUUGGUCAAUGGACGAGAGUCUGAACCAGCCAAGUAGCGUGCAGGAUGACGGCCCUAUGGGUUGUAAACUGCUUUUAUAAGGGAAUAAAGUGAGUCUCGUGAGACUUUUUGCAUGUACCUUAUGAAUAAGGACCGGCUAAUUCCGUGCCAGCAGCCG